rnacentral:rRNA from 1 species
UAAUACGGAGGGUGCAAGCGUUAUCCGGAUUCACUGGGUUUAAAGGGUGUGUAGGCGGGCUGUUAAGUCAGUGGUGAAAUCUCCGGGCUCAACCCGGAAACUGCCAUUGAUACUAAUGGUCUUGAAUUUUGUUGAGGUAGGCGGAAUAUGUCAUGUAGCGGUGAAAUGCUUAGAUAUGACAUAGAACACCGAUUGCGAAGGCAGCUUACUAAGCAAAUAUUGACGCUGAGGCACGAAAGCGUGGGGAUCAAACAGGAUUAGAUACCCUGGUAGUCCACGCCCUAAACGAUGAUUACUCGACAUACGCGAUACACAGUGUGUGUCUGAGCGAAAGCAUUAAGUAAUCCACCUGGGAAGUACGUCCGCAAGGAUG